rnacentral:rRNA from 1 species
CCUACGGGUGGCUGCAGUGGGGAAUAUUGCACAAUGGGCGCAAGCCUGAUGCAGCCAUGCCGCGUGUGUGAAGAAGGCCUUCGGGUUGUAAAGCACUUUCAGCGGGGAGGAAGGCGUUAAGGUUAAUAACCUUGUCGAUUGACGUUACCCGCAGAAGAAGCACCGGCUAACUCCGUGCCAGCAGCCGCGGUAAUACGGAGGGUGCAAGCGUUAAUCGGAAUUACUGGGCGUAAGGCGCACGCAGGCGGUCUGUCAAGUCGGAUGUGAAAUCCCCGGGCUCAACCUGGGAACUGCAUUCGAAACUGGCAGGCUAGAGUCUUGUAGAGGGGGGUAGAAUUCCAGGUGUAGCGGUGAAAUGCGUAGAGAUCUGGAGGGAUACCGGUGGCGAAGGCGGCCCCCUGGACAAAGACUGACGCUCAGGUGCGAAAGCGUGGGGAGCAAACAGGAUUAGAUACCCUUGUAGUC